rnacentral:rRNA from 1 species
GCGGAAGGAUCAUUAAUGAAUAACU